rnacentral:lncRNA from 1 species
CUAGUUGUUUUUUUUUUUUUUUUUCUCCUAUUGCCCGAUUCUUUAUAUUCUUGUUUUCCUUUAUGAGAGAGUGUGUCUCAACUUGGCAUUCUAAAUUCUAACCUUUCUCUCAAUGACCACCCCCGCACCUUUUUGGCUCAGACCUUAACUUGUAAUACUUUCUUGAAAGAAAGUAUUUUUUCUGGUCAUUCCUCUUAUUUCAUGCAGACUGUCUAAUUUCUGUGAAGUAUUUAUAGCAGUUUUUCCUUAAGUUUUCUUUGGCCUCUCAGUAUUAUCUCAACAUUUUUUGUUUUCUAAAAAUGAUAUCUUGUCUUGGCCUUUGUCUUUAAUAUCAACAGCCCCCCUCAGACCUGCAUGAUGCUGGUCUGUUCACGGCGGUGCAGGAAUGAGGCCCAAAAAGGCCAACUGGGGGCUCCUUGUGGUUUUGCUGGUGGGCUUCACCAUGGGGUCGCAGGCUGGCGACCCUGCUCCUUGGCUGGUCAACUGUCGACUUUUCCCUGUGAGGCUGAUCUGCUUCUUCUUUCUGCUGGUAAAUGAGGAGAACGGCGGGUGCUGAGAAUCAGAGACGUGGAGGGAAGGCUGGUGGGCAGGUGGUCUUUUGGAGACGUUCGUGAGGGAAGGUCUGCCGCCCGGGGUUUCCAGGAACCUGGAUGAAAGGUGAGCAGAGGUGGGGGGGGUUGUAUCUGAAGGUUGGAACAACAACCAAAAAAAGGCAAUUCAGCAGGUGCUUUGAAAAGGCAGCCAAUGUCCCCCAGGGAAGUGAAUUCUCUCUGUGGAUGUUUUUCCUCCUGCCUGCUCUUUACUGUGCCCCAUACGGGCAUCUUUUGCCCAUGUUUCUUCCUUUCUGGACCUUUCUUUUCCCUAAAGGUGCAGGCCUGGCAUUUUGUUGGCUGAGCCGUCUUCUAGAUCUGUGUUCCUUAAACUUUAAUGGGCGUAAGAAUUAUAGCUUCAAAAUGCAGAUUCUGAUUCAGAGGCCUGUGAUUCUGCAUUUCCAGGAGGUGCCCACGCGGUAUGGAUGCUGGUUCAUGGGGCUCUGGAAAGGAGGCAUGAGGACUUGGAAAAGCCCAGCGGGCAGGGCCUUUCAUCCCAGAGGCCCCCUCCAGCCCCAGCUCUCCUCCAGCUUCCCUCUCACCCCCUGCCCUCCUGCAGGCUUGGGCUGACGUCCGCUGGCUUCUCUUCAAGGCCUCAUUUCCUGGAACUGUCUGGGUCAAGGUCUGGUUGCAGGAGAGGGGCUCCACAAGCCCCCACGACAGGGAUGGCUGUCCUGGUCCUCUGCUGCUCCCUGGGGGGGCCCCCGUGACCAGGCAGGGCCAUCCGUCUGCACACAGGCACCCAACCUCCUACCUGCCCCAGUGCUUUCUCAUGCUUCUAGUUAGUCCUCAUGGCCCGUGGGGGUUCAGUUGGGCAAACAGAGAGAAAGAAAUGGUUGGCCUGUUAUGUACGCCAAAGCCACGCAAACCCCAAGUCCAAGGCUUAGGUAGAUGUUCAUCAGGUUUCUAUUAUUUUUUACUAAAUUUAAUUUUUUUGAAUACCAGCUUUCUUUUGACACAGUAAACCAGCAGCAUCUAAUCACCAAACAGAGCAAACAAAAGAAGGCUUUUGUUUGCUUUACAUAAAGAGACGGGGCAGGAAACCCAAGUGACCUAAUGUGAGUUUUCAGAAUUAGCAUCCGCUGUUUUCAUUUGCCUAAUGUAAUCCCACUUCUGCGUAUUCAGUGGGGAUUUCAUUUGUCUGAUGUGGUUUCAUAAGAAGCAAGAGGAGGGGUCCAAGGAGCAAAAGGAAAACCUAGCUUGUUCUUAAUAUCCCACUUUGAUGUGUUUGCAAUGAAUGUAAUUAGGUUUUCUUUUUAAAUGCCUUUUUCUCUUUUUCUCAAAAAGCUAAAGUCAACUUGAGAACGUGGACGUUGUCUGGCCUGGAUCGGUUCAGAGUGGCUUCUUUCUGGAUGUCACAGUGGGCUAGGAUGUAUCUACCUUCUGCUUCCCUGGGGCACCCCUGUGAUGUCCUGGAUCUUUGCCUUGCUGUCAUCAAUGGGGUCACCCCGUGCAACGUCCAGAAGGACGUCUCAUUAAGUAUAAGUGAAUCCCAGGAAUGAGCUCUCGGCUUGGUUUUACAUCCUGCACAACCUCCUGCCCAACCCCCAACAGACGGAUUCUAAAGGGAAAUCCAGUCGCAUCCACAAAAACAGCCCGUGUACACUGGGGAACCCAGAAGCAUCCCUGACGUUGGCCGUGACUCCGCCCCUCUCCCUCUAAUUGCGGAGGACGGCGGGGAGGGACCUGGGGGAAACGGAUGUGUAAUAAUGGGCGUGCGGGCUUCCUCACUGUUAUCUGGUACAGUAUUAACGUCGCCUCAUGUGUCUUGAGUCUUUGCCCGACUGGGUUUUCUCAGCAGGGGGGAUGGGAAGGCGGACAGGAUCUUGAAGUGCCUGGCUGGACCUGGGCGCUGGAAGCAGCCAUAAAUGGGGACAUUUGCUUGGCUCACUGGCUAAUGAGUGAAAGAUCGCCAAUAGUAAUAAGGUUUCAGCGGAAUUUCCUUAAUGAUUGGCACAGUUCAUUAAGAGAAGAAACACAAGACGGCGUCCCCUUGGGAGGGGCUGGGGGAUGGGUUGGUUGUCGGAUCUCGGAGGUGGGGGCCCUGACUCCCAGGAAUGCGGCUUUCGCACAGUUCGGUGUUUUGAAGGAAGACAGAGCCCGGCUGCAGUUGAGUAAUUUCGGCUAAUUGAGAUUUGCAUGGGUCAAAGACCGGGGUCCUGCUGCCGUUAAGGGGGGUGGCAUCCGCUAAGGGCAAUGGCAUCUGUUCUGGAUGCCUCGGGGAGAGCGGCCCGUGUGCGCCUCGGGAAGGUGAUGAGGGGCUCCUCCCCCACAAAGAAGAGCUCUCCUGGGACAGGGCCUAUCCCUGGUCCCGGGGUGGGCCGCAUGGUCGCUCGUUGGCCCGAGUGUGGUCACUUCUAAUAGGUCUCCGUUGCCCCCAUCCCUGGGAGUGAGACCUAAUGAGGCAUCUCCAGCCCCUGUGUGGUGCGUCUACCGGGGGCGCGGCUUCACACGACGUGCUUCUGGGCCGCAGCGAGGCUCACCCUUCCGCGACGGGGUGUGAGAAAGGCUGACCCCUGUGCUGAGAGUGGAGAGUAUCUGUCUCCAAUGGAGAAUCCACUUCUUUAACCCCCCUCCAUCUGGCUGCAAGCCCCUCCCAGCCUACCCCUGUGCUGGGAAACUGACCAUGUCCUUAGAGAUGCUCGGACCCUAAAGCGGGGCUGAGGUAGCAGCAGGGGUGCUGCCAAGCGCUGUGGCACCUGUGAGCAUGUUGGGAAAAGGCACUGCCCGUGGUGUACGGUUUGGCGAGCUGAGUGCAGGCUGGAUUCCGGUACUUCUGGUUACUGUGGCCAGGCAUCUGAGUGUAGAACGGCCAUCAAACAGGUGUGGUCAGUAGCCAUGGAUACCAGGUUGGAAAUGGCAUCAAAGUGUAGAAAGGUCCUUAGAGGCAGGAACCAGCAUUCCUCCUUUGAGAUGCCCAUUGUCCCUGCCCCCGUUCCCUUCUGCUGCUAUGGCCAUAGUUCUGUGCCCCUUAGGUGUCUACACAAGCUCUGGCUUCCUGGGUGGGAGGCUGCGGGGCCCCAGGACCAGUUUCUGGGAGAAGCCACGGGCCUCUUGCUCUGUCGGGAGGACCCACACCUCUCUCCGCCGAUGAGCUGGCCCCCGAGGCACUCCCUAUCUCCCUCCAUCUUUCUGGAUCUCAGCCUAAUUCCAUCCACAAAUUUAGGCUUUAUCAAAGACAGGAGAAACUACGGCUCUAGGUGGUCCAUGUCCUAAAACCCUCCCCGAGGCAAAACAAUAUGUGGCUACCAAUUAGAAACAGAAAGGAAGGCAACACAAGAGAAAGCGCACACAAAUCUUUCCACGUGUGCUCCUGCUAUGUUGACCCCCAACACCCAAUUUCCCUGAAGGAAUGCUGGGGACACCGGGUGCCCCCUCGAGACCAAGGGGCAGACUUGCGAGGUGCUCUGGCUUCUCACAGGCUUCGAAGGGCCCUUGUUGGUGGCCCGCACCUUCUUGAGCUGGCCGGGGAGACACAGUCCUGGGUAAAAUUGCAUCCUUCUCCAACAAAGUUGUUAAUAUUGUCUCUCAGAAAAUUUCUUGGAGGCCCAGUUGUGGCUCAGUGGGUUAAGAACCCGACACAGUGUCAGUGAGGAUGCGGGUUCCAUCCCUGGCCUCACUCAGUGGGUUAAGGAACCAGUGUGGCCAUAUGUGGCAUGGGUCACAGACAUGGCUCGAUCUGGCAUUGCUGUGGCGGUGGUGUAGGCCGGCAGCUGCAGCUCCAAUUCAACUCCUAGCCUGAGAGCUUUCAUAUGCCACAGGUGUGGACCUAAAAGUAAAUAAAUAGAAAUAAAAAUGUCUUAGGAUGGGUCGGGCUAGUUGUGUGAUGGAAGUACCAUCUGGGACUCCUUCCAUAAUGCACCAAGAGCUGCAUUCUUGUUAGAGUGAGGGGAAAGAGGGAGGGGGUGUAGAACAUGGCUUUACAGUUGACCUGUGUGACCUUGGGCAGAUGCCUCUGCAAAGAGCAGGCUGGGCUGCAGUGGGGGUGAUUUCUUGGGUACCCCUCACCAUUGCUUUCCAUAAAAAUGCCAUCACAGAAACUCACCCUGAGUUAAGGGGAAGAGCUCUUAAGGCGAAUAAAUACUUGCUUUUCCCGUCUCCGUUUUUCUCAUUAUUUCUCCAUCAUGUGAGUCCGUUACUUCUGUUCCUCUCUUUUACUCUCUGGUUCGCACUUCCUGCUUCUUCCACUCAUUUUUGCUGUGGUUUCCUCCAUCGUUUCUCCCUCUUUGUCAUUCCCUGAACGUUUGUUAUGAUCUGUAUUUAUUGAGUUAGGUUUUAUAAGCUCUGACCUUCAAUGCGGCCACAUUGAAUGUUUUACAAAGCCAUCCCAACCCAGAAAGAACAGUCCCACUGACAUUUGAAAUUGCUUUUAGAACUGUACCUAAGCCUCAAAGCUGCUUUUCUCAGGGGACCUCGGGAGAGCAAGGUCUCCCCCCCUGCACUAAAACUAGCCCGCAGUGGCAACGACCCUGUGGCCUUGUUCGCCUCCAACAAGGAUGUUAGUGGGAGCUGGUGCGCUGGUGGAGGACGAGGAGGCUCUGCCGAAAUACCUCUCUGCCUUGGUCUUCGAUGGGAGUUGCAAAGAGAUGGACAUGUUUUGAAAAUAAUUCCAGGCUGAAAUGUCGCUGUGAUUACACAUAUGUUCGUAGGUAGAUGAGAGUCAAUUCAAGGUCAUUAAAACAUUAGGCUGUUCGGGAAGAUGAGCUCAGCUCACUCAGAAUUUCAGGUCUAGCAGGUUAGCUUUUUGUAGGUCCAAGAAAAUGCUCCGCUUGGCACCCAGCCGCCUUGGCUGCCCUGCAGAAACUCUGUGCCUUUGAUACUCAGUGAAAAAUGCACAUCUGGAAUGAAAUCAGACCUCAGCCCUCGCAAGCUUCUGCUCCUUGGUAUUUAAUUAUUAUGACUUGGAUGAUGUGACUCAGGGUAAAGACUUUAUUUUUAGCAAUGAUUAGAACUGCUCUGGAUGAGGAGAUCAGGAAUGCUGUUUAUUUUUUUUUAAUUGGCGCAUGUGACUAAAUAUAUUUUUCAACUCUUGAAUGAACAAAUCUGACACUUAAGAAAACACAUUAAAAACGGGCGUUUUUUAGACUGCUUUGGGGGGUUUCCAUAUCUGUCUUCUGAUGUUCUGGUGAAUCGUCGUUGAAAUAACUCUUUUAAAUAGUUUAAAUACGCUUUAU